rnacentral:rRNA from 1 species
CACGACCGAAUUGGGAGCAGUUCUCCCUUUUCCCCCACGAAGCAGCCCUAUCGGGCGCCGCCACCCCUGACUCGCCGCCAGGCCCGCCCCUCCCUCGCCGGCUCGCCGCCUGCGCAGCCACACAACCGCACCACCCCGCGUCGCCACUCCCGCAUCCCACCGUCCCGCGCGAUCUCUACUGGCGCCUGGGAAGAGGGUACGCUGCCGCCUGGUUCAACUCCGACCUCGCUGUUCCAGUACAGCGCCGACCAAAAUUCCCUCCGGUUGACCAGUCCAAGAACAGCCAACCAGGACGACGAGGACGCUCGACGGUCACCUCCAGACCUCUACUCCAGACCAGGACAUUCGGCCGACGCUGUGUAUCAAUGGAUUUAGAAUCUAUAAAGGAGCUAUUGCUUUCUCCUAGACCAGGAAAUUUUGCCACUGGAGAUUAGAAGGAUUGUUCUAAAUUGGUGCAUGAAGCUAUGCGUUCUUUUAGCGGACAUUUAUAUAUGUCUGCAUAGUUCUUGCUCUUCAACCAUGAAGCUUGAAAAAACCCAAAAAUUGUUCUGAGUUAAACUUCAUGUAUGACGGAUUGUCACUGGAAAUAGAUAGAUACUUUUGUGAAUGAAGUAUUAUGUCUCAUUUACCAUCUUGUAAACUAAGCUUACAUUUGUUUGAAAUUGAUGUUUUUAGUCAAAACUUGGAUGUCCGAUUCAAC